UAGUCCCCACUGCUACUCUAACAAUUUGAGUUUUCUUUGAUUGAGUAUGACCCCAUAUUGUGGAACUUAUUUUCAGACUAAUAUUCAGUACUUUCAAGUAAAAUGUUAAAAUAUGCCUAUUUAGCGUGGUUUGUUUCUUUAUUUACUCACAGUUGUGAUUAUCUUGUGUACAAUAAAUAUACUUCCAAUGUUGCUCAUUCAUUUAGGUUUUACAUAAAUAAAAUGUAUUAUGUUAUUAUUGUUGCUGUUGUUGGUACGUUUAAAAUAUGGCAUGCUUUAACACUAUAUUACUUUUUAAAACAGUAUCUCCAUGCCCUUUUAAACCGCAUAUUUGUGGUUGAUCCUCUGCAAGGGUUAAAUGAAGUUGACGACUCCAGAAAGGCUGGCCAAAGAUACAGUAUUUCAAAAUGCGCCGGAACAGACUUGGAAAGGAGGACUGGGUGAACAUCAAGUGGCAGCCGGGCCAGAUAACCCACAGCUGCCAGAAAGAUGGCAGCAGUUGUGGGAUCUUUGUCAUGCAGAUGGCCGAGAUGACGGUGAUGGAACUUCCAAAGAUUCCUCAGCAUUUUCGCAUCAACUCAUCUAAACAAUCUAUUGAAAAGCUAAGAAGAGACGAGGCUGAAGACAUUCUAAAACAAUCAGGUUUAAAAAAAAAUAGUUUCAAAGGAUGAGCUCUGUUCCUUCUGUGGAAUUGAGGACCUGCCCAAAACUGAUGUUGAUGCUGUUUGGAUUCAGUGUGGAACUUGCUCAAGAUGGUUUCACACGCAGUGCUUUGGGAUGACAGCAGCACAAAUACCAAACAACAUUGGUAUUGUGUGUUGUGUAACUGAACACUUAGGAAUAUGUAUGUCUGACUUUGUCGGAUAAACUUGUUGACUUCAAGUUUAUCCAGUUAAAUGUUGUUCAAGCCGAACCAGUCAUGUAUACAUUGGUAUCUGAUCGUUCAUAAAGAUUAAAUGGGGGAACUACUUGACUACUA